ACGGAAGGCAGCAGUGGGGAAUAUUGCACAAUGGGCGAAAGCCUGAUGCAGCGACGCCGCGUGAAGGAUGAAGUAUUUCGGUAUGUAAACUUCUAUCAGCAGGGAAGAAAAUGACGGUACCUGACUAAGAAGCCCCGGCUAACUACGUGCCAGCAGCCGCGGUAAUACGUAGGGGGCAAGCGUUAUCCGGAUUUACUGGGUGUAAAGGGAGCGUAGACGGCGAUGCAAGUCUGAAGUGAAAGGCGGGGGCUCAACCCUUGGACUGCUUUGGAAACUGUAUUGCUAGAGUGCAGGAGAGGUAAGUGGAAUUCCUAGUGUAGCGGUGAAAUGCGUAGAUAUUAGGAGGAACACCAGUGGCGAAGGCGGCUUACUGGACUGUAACUGACGUUGAGGCUCGAAAGCGUGGGGAGCAAACAGGAUUAGAUACCCUGGUA
rnacentral:rRNA from 1 species